rnacentral:rRNA from 1 species
AGAGUUUGAUCCUGGCUCAGGACGAACGCUGGCGGCGCGCCUAACACAUGCAAGUCGAACGGAGCUUAGAGAGCUUGCUUUUUAAGCUUAGUGGCGAACGGGUGAGUAACGCGUGAGUAACCUGCCCUAGAGUGGGGGACAACAGUUGGAAACGACUGCUAAUACCGCAUAAGCCCACGGUACCGCAUGGUACUGAGGGAAAAGGAUUUAUUCGCUUUAGGAUGGACUCGCGUCCAAUUAGCUAGUUGGUGAGGUAACGGCCCACCAAGGCGACGAUUGGUAGCCGGACUGAGAGGUUGAACGGCCACAUUGGGACUGAGACACGGCCCAGACUCCUACGGGAGGCAGCAGUGGGGGAUAUUGCACAAUGGGGGAAACCCUGAUGCAGCGACGCCGCGUGGAGGAAGAAGGUUUUCGGAUUGUAAACUCCUGUCGUUAGGGACGAUAAUGACGGUACCUAACAAGAAAGCACCGGCUAACUACGUGCCAGCAGCCGCGGUAAAACGUAGGGUGCAAGCGUUGUCCGGAAUUACUGGGUGUAAAGGGAGCGCAGGCGGGAAGACAAGUUGGAAGUGAAAACCAUGGGCUCAACCCAUGAAUUGCUUUCAAAACUGUUUUUCUUGAGUAGUGCAGAGGUAGAUGGAAUUCCCGGUGUAGCGGUGGAAUGCGUAGAUAUCGGGAGGAACACCAGUGGCGAAGGCGGUCUACUGGGCACCAACUGACGCUGAGGCUCGAAAGCAUGGGUAGCAAACAGGAUUAGAUACCCUGGUAGUCCAUGCCGUAAACGAUGAUUACUAGGUGUUGGAGGAUUGACCCCUUCAGUGCCGCAGUUAACACAAUAAGUAAUCCACCUGGGGAGUACGACCGCAAGGUUGAAACUCAAAGGAAUUGACGGGGGCCCGCACAAGCAGUGGAGUAUGUGGUUUAAUUCGAAGCAACGCGAAGAACCUUACCAGGUCUUGACAUCCGAUGCAUAACACAGAGAUGUGUGAAAUCCUUCGGGACAUCGAGACAGGUGGUGCAUGGUUGUCGUCAGCUCGUGUCGUGAGAUGUUGGGUUAAGUCC